rnacentral:rRNA from 1 species
AAUGAACGUUGGCGGCAUGGAUUAGGCAUGCAAGUCGAGCGAGAAGUGUAGCAAUACACGGAAAGCGGCGGAAGGGAGAGUAAUACGUGGGAAUCUGCCCUUAGACCUGGGAUAGCAGCGGGAAACUGCUGGUAAUACCAGAUAAUGUCUAUGGACCAAAGGUGUGAUUCCGUCUAGGGAUGAGCCCACGUCCUAUUAGCUAGUUGGUAGGGUAAUGGCCUACCAAGGCGAUGAUGGGUAGCGGGUGUGAGAGCAUGACCCGCCUCACUGGGACUGAGACACGGCCCAGACACCUACGGGUGGCUGCAGUCGAGAAUCUUCGGCAAUGGGCGCAAGCCUGACCGAGCGAUGCCGCGUGCGGGAUGAAGGCCUUCGGGUUGUAAACCGCUGUCGAGGGGGAGCAACUUCCAUAGAGUUAUCUUUAUGGAUUGAGUGAUCCCUGGAGGAAGGACGGGCUAAGUUCGUGCCAGCCGCCGCCGUAAAAC